UGGGGAAUAUUGCACAAUGGGCGCAAGCCUGAUGCAGCGACGCCGCGUGAGGGAUGACGGCCUUCGGGUUGUAAACCUCUUUCAGCAGGGAAGAAGCGAAAGUGACGGUACCUGCAGAAGAAGCGCCGGCUAACUACGUGCCAGCAGCCGCGGUAAUACGUAGGGCGCAAGCGUUGUCCGGAAUUAUUGGGCGUAAAGAGCUCGUAGGCGGUUAGUCGCGUCUGCUGUGAAAACUCGAGGCUCAACCUCGGGCUUGCAGUGGGUACGGGCUGACUAGAGUGCGGUAGGGGUGACUGGAAUUCCUGGUGUAGCGGUGGAAUGCGCAGAUAUCAGGAGGAACACCGAUGGCGAAGGCAGGUCACUGGGCCGCAACUGACGCUGAGGAGCGAAAGCAUGGGGAGCGAACAGGAUUNGAUACCCUGGUAGUCCAUGCCGUAAACGUUGGGCACUAGGUGUGGGUCCAUUCCACGGAUUCCGUGCCGCAGCAAACGCAUUGAAGUGCCCCGCCUGGGGAGUACGGCCGCAAGGCUAAAACUCAAAGGAAUUGACGGGGUCAUAGCUGUUUCCU
rnacentral:rRNA from 1 species